UGGCGACCGGCGCACGGGUGCGUAACGCGUAUGCAACCUACCUUUAACAGGGGAGUAACACUGAGAAAUUGGUACUAAUACCCCAUAAUAUCAUAGAAGGCAUCUUUUAUGGUUGAAAAUUCCGAUGGUUAGAGAUGGGCAUGCGUUGUAUUAGCUAGUUGGUGGGGUAACGGCUCACCAAGGCGACGAUACAUAGGGGGACUGAGAGGUUAACCCCCCCACACUGGUACUGAGACACGGACCAA
rnacentral:rRNA from 1 species